rnacentral:lncRNA from 1 species
GUCCCAGCAAAGCCUUGCUGAACACAGCACGGUCAGGAACUGUGUUAAACACUGGAUAUGGAUACAAAGAUGGCUAUGUAUAUCCUCCAAAAGAGGUCACCUCUAACACCCAAAUCAGUACGUUACAGAUGCAAAAGAAGAUACAGAAGAGAUGAAUUUAAAAGGUCAUCAUCUCAGGGUCCUGGGAUCGAGCCCCGCAUUGGGCUCUCUGCUCAGCGAGGAGCCUGCUUCGUCCUCUCUCUCUGC